rnacentral:rRNA from 1 species
CGCUAGCGGCAGGCUUAACACAUGCAAGUCGAGGGGUAACAGAAUAGCUUGCUAUUGCUGACAACCGGCGAACGGGUGCGUAACGCGUAUGCAAUCUACCCUUUUCUGGAAGAUAGCCCUUAGAAAUGAGGAUUAAUAUUCCAUAAUAUUGCGAAGAGACAUCUCUUUGUUCUUAAAGCUUCGGCGGUUAGGGAUAGGCAUGCGUUCUAUUAGUUAGUUGGUGAGGUAAUGGCUCACCAAGACUUCGAUAGAUAGGGGGCCUGAGAGGGUUAUCCCCCACACUGGUACUGAGACACGGACCAGACUCCUACGGGAGGCAGCAGUGAGGAAUAUUGCACAAUGGACGAAAGUCUGAUGCAGCCAUGCCGCGUGCAGGAUGAAUGCCCUACGGGUUGUAAACUGCUUUUAUAUAGGAAGAAACCCCUCUACGUGUAGAGGGCUGACGGUACUAUAAGAAUAAGGACCGGCUAACUCCGUGCCAGCAGCCGCGGUAAUACGGAGGGUCCAAGCGUUAUCCGGAUUUAUUGGGUUUAAAGGGUCCGUAGGCGGGAAAAUAAGUCAGUGGUGAAAGCCUGCAGCUCAACUGCAGAACUGCCAUUGAAACUGUUUUUCUUGAGUAUAGAUGAAGUGGGCGGAAUGUAUCAUGUAGCGGUGAAAUGCAUAGAUAUGAUACAGAACACCGAUUGCGAAGGCAGCUUACUAAACUAUCACUGACGCUGAUGAACGAAAGCGUGGGGAGCGAACAGGAUUAGAUACCCUGGUAGUCCACGCCGUAAACGAUGAUAACUCGUUGGUGGCGAUAUACAGUCACUGACCAAGCGAAAGUAUUAAGUUAUCCACCUGGGGAGUACGCCGGCAACGGUGAAACUCAAAGGAAUUGACGGGGGCCCGCACAAGCGGUGGAGCAUGUGGUUUAAUUCGAUGAUACGCGAGGAACCUUACCAGGGCUUAAAUGUAGGACGACAGGCUCGGAAACGAGCCCUUCUUCGGACGUCCUACAAGGUGCUGCAUGGUUGUCGUCAGCUCGUGCCGUGAGGUGUCGGGUUAAGUCCCAUAACGAGCGCAACCCCUAUUCUUAGUUGCCAGCGAGUCGGCCGGGGACUCUAAGAAAACUGCCAGCGUAAGCUGUGAGGAAGGUGGGGAUGACGUCAAGUCAGCACGGCCCUUACGUCCAGGGCUACACACGUGUUACAAUGGCCGGGACAGAGGGCAGCUACUCCGCGAGGAGGCGCAAAUCCACAAACACUAUCUCAGUUCGGAUCGAAGUCUGCAACUCGACUUCAUGAAGCUGGAAUCGCUAGUAAUCGCGCAUCAGCCAUGGCGCGGUGAAUACGUUCCCGGGCCUUGUACACACCGCCCGUCAAACAAUGGAAGCCGGGGGUACCUGAA